AUAUCAAUAAGCGGAGGAAAAGAAACUAACAAGGAUUCCCCUAGUAACGGCGAGUGAAGCGGGAAGAGCUCAAAUUUGUAAUCUGGCUGCUUUGCGGUCCGAGUUGUAAGCUAGAGAAGUGUUAUCUGUGCUGGACCAUGUGUGAGUCUGUUGGAAUAUAGUGUCAAAGAGGGUGAGAACCCCGUUCAUAAUAUGGACUACCAGUACUCUGUGUUACACUCUCAAAGAGUCGAGUUGUUUGGGAAUGCAGCUCAAAUUGGGUGGUAAAUUCCAUCUAAAGCUAAAUAUUGGCGGGAGACCGAUAGCGCACAAGUA
rnacentral:rRNA from 1 species